CGGCGCGGGGUGCGGGCGGCCUGGUUCUGGCUGGAAGUUCAGCUCCUUUAACCCGCUGCAAUGGUGAUAGCUGUGGCCAGGGCAGGCCCAGCCCUAGGGGACGGGACCACCUUACAUGAUAACCCUACAGCGUGCGCGCUCUCCCAUUUUGCAGAUGAGAUGGGGUACCCCUUCCAGCUGCCUUGGACCACAUAGAAGUGCACCCUCAGGGAGUCAGCUACUCUGGGAUCUUAAAGCAAGCCUCUGACACCACACCUCAUCCCUAACCCUUCAAGCUCAUCUUCUCAUUUGGACUUCUACCAUGAGACAGAAUGAAGAAGGCAGGGGGCAUGUCUUCCUGCAGGGCAGUACAGGGUCCAGUCCAGGAAGAACAAAGCCAGCCUCUGGGUAAAGGAUUUCUUUAAGAGGCCCUUCCACCUAAGAGGUUUUUUUACAUGGCCACCCAUCAGAGCAGCCAGAGGUAUUAAGCUUCAGCCUUUCAAAUAGGGGAAACCAUUUUAGGCAACAGCUGUGGAGUCUCACCUGCCCCACCUCUGGUCUUGACAUGCUUUAGAUGGGCUGAGGAUCAAAGAUGACUCCAAAGAUCUCAAGGAGACCAAGAAGGCCAAGGGAGACCAAGUCACCUGCUUGCCAGGGUGACUUCUGCCCUAUGUACUGUUGUGGGCCUCAGCCCCACACACCCUGGAGGGAAGUGAAACUACCUUUUCAUGAGAGGAAGCAGAGGAGUUUCUUGAAGUAUGAUUGUAACCCCCAAACGCCCCAAACUAGUCUUUCAUCACCACCUGGAAGAGGAUCCCACAGGAAACAGAAACCAAGCCCUUACCACUGACCCUGAACUCUGUCCUGGGUACUGUGCUAGAACACGCUGGGCCUCUGGAGAAACCGAGGUUCAGUGCUGUCAAACAGCCAAGCCAAGUGCCAGUAAGCCAAAUCUCCCAUGAAACAGUCAGUGGCUUAUAGGUGCAGAUGUUUUUGAAAGCAGGUAAAAGAACAUGUCUGUCUUUUUCUAUAUUUAAUGGUGUGUGAGUUUGUGUGUCUCUGUGUAAGUUUUCUUUAUGGAGCUCGUACUGACCUUGAAUCUGUAGCAGUCCUCCUGCCUCUGCUUCAGCAGUGUCGGGAUCCCACGCAGCUUGGACUCCAAGACAUUUGUAUUAAAUAUCAGCAGUGCUUAAAUAUGUA